rnacentral:rRNA from 1 species
AUUGAACGCUGGCGGCAGGCCUAACACAUGCAAGUCGAGCGGAUGAAGGGAGCUUGCUCCUGGAUUCAGCGGCGGACGGGUGAGUAAUGCCUAGGAAUCUGCCUGGUAGUGGGGGAUAACGUCCGGAAACGGGCGCUAAUACCGCAUACGUCCUGAGGUAGAAAGUGGGGGAUCUUCGGACCUCACGCUAUCAGAUGAGCCUAGGUCGGAUUAGCUAGUUGGUGGGGUAAAGGCCUACCAAGGCGACGAUCCGUAACUGGUCUGAGAGGAUGAUCAGUCACACUGGAAGUGAGACACGGUCCAGACUCCUACGGGAGGCAGCAGUGGGGAAUAUUGGACAAUGGGCGAAAGCCUGAUCCAGCCAUGCCGCGUGUGUGAAGAAGGUCUUCGGAUUGUAAAGCACUUUAAGUUGGGAGGAAGGGCAGUAAGUUAAUACCUUGCUGUUUUGACGUUACCAACAGAAUAAGCACCGGCUAACUUCGUG